rnacentral:rRNA from 1 species
CAAUAGCGUAUAUUAAAGUUGUUGCGGUUAAAAGCUCGUAGUUGGAUUUCUGUUGAUAACGGCCGGUCCGCACUAUGUGCGUGUAUCAGGUUCGGUGUCGGCAUCCUCGUGGGGAUCGUUUCUGUGCUUGAUUGCAUGGGGCGGAAUUCACGACUUUUACUUUGAGGAAAUUAGAGUGUUUCAAGCAGGCGCACGCCUUGAAUACAUUAGCAUGGAAUAAUAAGAUAGGAUUUCGGUUCUAUUUUGUUGGUUUCUAGAGCUGAGGUAAUGAUUAAUAGGGAUAGUUGGGGGCAUUCGUAUUUAACUGUCAGAGGUGAAGUUCUUGGAUUUGUUAAAGACGGACUACUGCGAAAGCAUUUGCCAAGGAUGUUUUCAUUGAUCAAGAACGAAAGUUAGGGGAUCGAAGAUGAUCAGAUACCGU